UAUUUUACUGUAUCAGUUAAAUGUAUUAAUUAAAUGUCAAUCAAUUUAGCAAGAUACUUAUAAAAUAAACACAUAUUGGAUAAAUAUUUUACUCACUAUAUAUGAGACUAGUGCAGGUGUGAAUUUUAAUUUAUUAGUAACUGAAAGUCAGUAUUUUAUCAUCUAGGAGUUGACAUCAUAUUCAGUGGGAAAACAGUACAAGCAUGAGCAAAUAUUAGUAAUAGAUUUAAUGAAUUUUGUGAUGCAUUCGUUUGUAAUCAUAACCUUUUAUUUGCAUCCCUUAAGUUAAUUUUCCCGCCACUUUAAACAAUCAAGUAACAGUUAAAACGUUAAAAGUGGCUGAGCUAUACCAAAGUCCAUUCAUACAAAUACUUAAAAAACAACACAGACCUAUUCACAAUUGCUUGCUGCAAAGUUAUGUGAACCUGAGAGAGUGAAAGUGGCUUAAGGCAUGGCGACAGAGAAAGAUGAACUUUGCAGUUUAGAAAUGAAUCUACACUGUUAACCAGAACUCACAUUGAGAGAUAAUAUCUCCCAUUGUGUUUCCACUGAAUACACUGAAGUGUAUUUGAGGGCAGUGAAAGGAGCCAUUGCUCUCUGAGCAGGCGACACGUCUUGCUCACAUGAUCUGAUUUCUCCUUUUGCAGCUGUUGCAGUUUGGCUGUGAAUCGGAGGUAUUUAAGGUCAUCUGAAGCACCUCAGCUGGGUUGCAUGGAAUAAUGUCUGACCCAAGGUUCAAUACAACCCCCUGCGAGAGACAUCACUUGCUUGAACCUUGUCCUAUCAUGGGAACGCUCUCGACAUUAACCUGCACAAACGCCUGACGUCAAGAGCAUCUUCCAUAAUGAAAAUCAAUACGACUGACUGAUGCAGCUUCCCAGCAAAUCUACCUGAGAAGCGUAAGGUCCUGGCGCGAGGUUGAAUGUGACACCUGCAGAUGUCUUGUGGGUCUGAGGCAGUCCAGUGGACGUGAUCUUCUCCAAAUGUCUGGCAUCUGAUGACAUUUAAAUACUUCAACAGUACAUUCAUCUACUAACCUCACAGUAGAUAUGAGGUUCAGUUAUUUGAGUUUAUUUUUAACAACAGUAAAUGCAUUUC